rnacentral:lncRNA from 1 species
AGCAAAUAACAGCAUGUCCUUAAAAUUAGGAAAAUAAUCUCUUCGAAUAAGCUAGGGCAAUUUGGAUCUAAAAUGUUAAAAAAGUUACCAAUAACCUAUUACACGUCUAUUAGCCCAUUAAGUUUGUUUAUCAACAAUAAUUGUCAAUUUGAUGUAUAAAUAUGUCAAAUAUAAAUAAAAUAAUAUAAAAAAAGUGGCUAGGUGCGAUUUGAGCUAGGCUUUAAUUCUAAACCCAAGCUUAACUCAUUUAUUAAAUAAGCUUAUUUUCCAUGUUCAAACCGAUGAAGCCCAUCAGGCCUAAAAUUUGGGCUCAAACCAGUCCAAAAUAUUUGGGCCUAGAGCAUGCUGCAGACCACCAGCCCAUGAAUAGAUCUAGUCAAGAUGCAUGUGCAUUAAUGCAUAAAGUUGAAUAACCCAGCCCUUAUAGCCACGUACCAUGGACUUGAUAAAGCUUGUCAAUGCAAGAUUCGAGUCAAGCCCAAAAUACAAUUGUCAUGAAUACCACAC